GUGCUCAUUUUGGCAGCACAUAUACUAAAAAUGGAAUGAUACAGAGAAGAUUAGCAUGGCCCCUGCACAAGGAUGACAGGCAAAUUCAUGAAGCCCUAAACCUAGUC